rnacentral:rRNA from 1 species
UCAAGCUGUAAAGGGCGCAAGGGGAAUGCCUUGGCACUGAGAGCCGACGAAGGACGCGACAAGCUGCGAUAAGCUACGGGGAGCCGCAAAUGGGCUUUGAUCCGUGGAUUUCCGAAUGGGGAAACCCGAUGGAGCAAUACUCCAUCAACCAUGACUGAAUACAUAGGUCAUGGUGGGGAACCGCCUGAACUGAAACAUCUAAGUAGGGCGAGGAAGAGAAAUCAACCGAGAUUCCGCUAGUAGUGGCGAGCGAACGCGGAAGAGGCCAAACCGGAGGUAGCAAUAUUUCCGGGGUUAGGACUGCGAUAUGUAACUUUAAUCUUUAACUGAAUGCUUUGGGAAGAGCAGCGAUACAGGGUGAUAGCCCCGUAAGUGAAAAGGAUUGAGUGCUAGCAGUAUCCAGAGUACCAGCGGACACGUGAAACCCGCUGGGAAGAUGGGGGGACCAUCCUCCAAGCCUAAAUACUACUCAGUGACCGAUAGUGGAGCAGUACCGUGAGGGAAAGGUGAAAAGUACCCCGGGAGGGGAGUGAAAGAGAACCUGAAACCCUAUGUUUACAAGCAGAUAAAGCGAAUUAAGGCGCGAUAUCGUACUUUUUGUAGAACGGUCCAGCGAGUUAUUGUAUAUGGCGAGGUUAAGUUGUAAGUAAGCAACGAAGCCGGAGUGAAAGCGAGUCUGAAGAGGGCGUAAAAGUCAUAUGUAAUAGACCCGAAACCGGGUGACCUAUCCAUGGUCAGGAUGAAGCUAAAGUAAAAUUUAGUGGAGGUCCGAACUGAUUGUCGUUAAAAAGGCACCGGAUGAACUGUGGAUAGCGGAGAAAUUCCAAUCGAACUCGGAGAUAGCUGGUUCUCCUCGAAAUAGCUUUAGGGCUAGCCUUGAGGGAAGAUAUGUGGGGGUAGAGCACUGAAUGAGGUAGGGGCCUAACCAGGUUACUGAACUCUAUCAAACUGCGAAUACCAUGUAUUAAUACUCAGGAGUCAGACUACGGGAGCUAAGUUCCGUGGUCAAAAGGGAAAGAGCCCAGACCGACAAUUAAGGUCCCAAAGAUAUAGUUAAGUGGGAAACGAUGUGAAUUUGCGUAAACAACCAGGAUGUUGGCUCAGAAGCAGCCAUUCAUUCAAAGAGUGCGUAACAGCUCACUGGUCGAGUGAAUUUGCGCGGAAAAUUACCGGGGCUAAACUAUACACCGAAAUUACGGAUUUGUAAAUGAAAAUUUAUAAGUGGUAGAGGAGCAUUCUGUGGUAGGGCGAAGCUAAAGCGAGAGCAUUAGUGGACGAAGCAGAAGAGAGAAUGCUGGAAUAAGUAGCGAGAGCGAGGUGAGAAUCCUUGCCGUCGAAAGUCUAAGGUUUCCUGGGGAAGGUUCGUCCGCCCAGGGUAAGUCGGGACCUAAGGAGAGGCCGAAAGGCGUAUCUGAUGGAUAGCAGGUGGAAAUUCCUGCACUAUAGCCAUACUUAAAAGAUGCAAGGGACGCAGGAGAGGAAGAUAACCGAGGAAGAGGAAAAACUCGGAUCGAAAGAUGGAGUGAAAAUAUAAGUAACGAAGUAUCAAGAAUCACACUGACGAGAAAAGCUUGUAGAGAUUGUAUGGAAAUACCCGUACCGCAAACCGACACAGGUAGAUGAGGAGAGGAUCCUAAGACGAACGGGAGAAGCAUUGUUAAGGAACUCGGCAAAAUAACCCCGUAACUUCGGGAGAAGGGGAGCCUAUGUAAAAGUAGGCCGCAGUGAAAAGGCCCAAGCAACUGUUUAACAAAAACACAGGUUUCUGCUAAAUCGAAAGAUGAAGUAUAGGAGCUGACGCCUGCCCAGUGCUGGAAGGUUAAGGGGAAAUGUUAGGAGCAAUCCGAAGCAUAGAACUGAAGCCCCAGUGAACGGCGGCCGUAACUAUAACGGUCCUAAGGUAGCGAAAUUCCUUGUCAGGUAAGUUCUGACCCGCACGAAAGGCGUAAUGAUUUGGGCACUGUCUCGACAAUGUACCCGGCGAAAUUGUAGUACUAGUGAAGAUGCUAGUUACCUGCGACAAGACAGAAAGACCCCAUGGAGCUUUACUGCAGUUUGAUACUGGGUUUUGAUAAACUAUGUACAGGAUAGGUGGGAGACGAAGAAAGCAAGGCGUCAGCUUUGCUGGAGUCACCGUUGGGAUACCACUCUUAGUUUGUUGAAAUUCUAACUAGUGGUCAUGACCUGGCCAGAGGACAAUGUCAGACGGGCAGUUUGACUGGGGCGGUCGCCUCCAAAAGAGUAACGGAGGCGCCCAAAGGUUUCCUCAGCGCGGACAGAAAUCGCGCGAAAGAGUGUAAAGGCAGAAGGAAGCUUAACUGGAAGACAGACAUGUCGAGCAGAUACGAAAGUAGGGCUUAGUGAUCCGGUGGAAUUGAAUGGAAAAGCCAUCGCUCAACGGACAAAAGUUACCCUGGGGAUAACAGGCUUAUCUCCCCCAAGAGUUCACAUCGACGGGGAGGUUUGGCACCUCGAUGUCGGCUCA